UACCUGGUUGAUCCUGCCAGUAGUCAUAUGUUUGUCUCAAAGAUUAAGCCAUGCAUGUGUUAGUAUGAACAAAUUCAGACUGUGAAACUGUGAAUGGCUUAUUAAAUCAGUUAUAGUUUGUUUUUGAAGGUAUCUACUACUCGGAUAACCGUAGUAAUUCUAGACCUAAUACCUAGAACAAACCCCGACUUAUGGAAGGGAUGCAUUUAUUAGAUAAAAGGUAGACGCGCGCUCUGCCCGUUGCUACCAUGAUUCAUGACAACUCGAAGAUCGCACGGCCAUCGUGCCGGCGACGCAUCAUUCAAAUUUCUGCCCUAUCAACUUUCGAUGGUAGGAUAGUGGCCUACCAUGGUGGUGACGGGUGACGGAGAAUUAGGGUUCGAUUCCGGAGAGGGAGCCUGAGAAACGGCUACCACAUCCAAGGAAGGCAGCAGGCGCGCAAAUUACCCAAUCCUGACACGGGGAGGUAGUGACAAUAAAUAACAAUACCGGGCUCUAUGAGUCUGGUAAUUGGAAUGAGUACAAUCUAAAUCCCUUAACGAGGAUCCAUUGGAGGGCAAGUCUUGUGCCAACAGCCGCGGUUAUUCCAGCUCCAGUAGCAUAUAUUUAAGUUGUUGCAGUCAAAAAGCUCGUAGUUGGACUUUAGGAUGGGCCAGACGGUCCGCCCUAGGUGUGCACCGGUCGUCUCGUCCCUUCUGUCGGCGAUGCGCUCCUGGCCUUAAUUGGCCGGGUCGUGCUUCCGGCGCUGGUACUUUGAAGAAAUUAAAGUGCUCAAAGACAGCCUACGCUCUGUUUACAUUAGCAUGGGAUAGCAUUAUAGGAUUUCGGUCCUAUUCCGUUGGCCUUCAGGAUCGGAGUAAUGAUUAACACAGAUAGACGGGGGCAUUGGUAUUUCAUAGUCAAAGGUGAAAUUCUUGGAUUUAUGAUAGAUGAACAACUGCGAAAGCAUUUGCCAAGGAUGUUUUCAUUAAUAAAGAACGAAAGUUGGGGGUUCGAAGACGAUCAGAUACCGUCCUAGUCUCAACCAUAAUAUUUGCCGACCAGGGAUCGUUGGAUGUUUCUUUUAGGACUCCGCCUGCACCUUAUGAAAAAUCAAAGUGUUUGGGUUCCUGGGUGAGUAUGGUUGCAAGGCUCAAACUUAAAGGAAUUGACGCAAGGGCACCACCAGGAGUGGAGCCUGCGGAUUAAUUUGACUGAGCUGUUUCUUGAUUCUAUGGGUGGUGGCGCAUGGCCGUUCUUAGUUGGGGGAGCGAUUUGUCUGGUUAAUUUCGUUAACGAACGAGACCUCAGCCUGCUAAUUAGCUAUGCGGAGGUAUCCCUUUGCAACCAGCUUCUUAGAGGGACUAUGGCCUUUUAGGCCGCGAAAGUUUGAGGUAAUAACAGGUCAGUGAUGACAUUAGAUGUUCAGGGCCGCACACACGCUAUAGUGAUGUAUUCAACGAGCUUAUAGCCUUGUCCGACAGGCCCAGGUAAUCUUUGAACUUUCAUCGUGAUGGGGAUAGAUCAUUGCAAUUGUUGGUCUUCAACGAGGAAUUCCUAGUAAGUGUGGGUCAUCAGCUCGCGUUGACUACGUCCCCUGCCCUCUGUACACACUGCCCAUUGCUCCUACCGAUUAAAUGAUCUGAUGAGAUGUUCGGAUCGCGGCGACGUGGGUGGUUUUCUGCCCGCAACUUCGCGAGAAGUCCAUAGAACCUUAUCAUUUAGAGGAAGGAGAAAUCGUAACAAGAUUUCCGUAGGUGAACCUGCGGAAGGAAUAUUG
rfam:Solanum tuberosum cultivar DM 1-3 516 R44 scf00868_2, whole genome shotgun sequence.